GGCCACUUUUGUAGUCCCUCCAUCAAUAACCCAAUGCGGUGCGGCCUAUGUGCGUGCCGAAGUAGCACCCAUCCACCAAGUCUCAUCCACACGAGGCUGAUCUCAGCGACUGCUGCUCUGUCUUGCCAGCUCCCAUCUCAAAUUGCCACUCGCCCUUGCAACUCUUUUCGUCCUUUCGACAGAUUUUCUUUCAUCUGCGGCACUCUAGAAACAAACCACAAGCUGUUCUCUGUGUGCAACUCACACCCACCACCUCCAUCAAGGAGACGGCGCGUGCGUAAGCGAAACUAUCAUUUGAAUAAUUAGAUAGAGACAGAGAAAUGCCUCGGAGUGGAGAUACCAAAGUCAGGAAGCAAGACGUGCUCCGACACGUGCCGAGGGAGAGAAUCAGGGGGAGUUUCGUACAGCAUGCACAGAUAGUACACAUGCUCAAAACUCUCUCAGGUGUGUUUAGAGGCGGACAAGGACUCCCUGUUUUCUCAUCCGGGAAGGACACACCGAACAAUAAGUGAGGAAAGCUCAGACAAAGAGGACAAAGAACCAAUGGAAAUGCAGACGAGGUCUAAAGGCGAAUUUGCCAGCCAUUCAUCUCCAGGUACUCCUCGACAUCGGACGUCUCGGCGUCGGACGUAUUGGCGAGAGUCAAGUUGGAGCUGUUGCUCUCUGGAUGAAGAGAAAAUUAAAAGGUGAGACAUCGGAAUGAAUAUUUUAUUUAAUGUGUUGAUAUUGUAUUGGCAGUCUGUCAAAAUAAUAGUAAUUAUCAUCCUUUUCGCUUCAAUUUCUGUCCAUAGCCAUCUCUUGUCUUAUAUUAUCAUUCAAUCCAUUCUUCCUCCUUCUCUUGAAAGCUGUGCUGCUGAUCAAAAAUGCCAAGUGAUCCAACGGUCACGUAAACAGACCACCGAAGUAACAGCACGUCCCGAGUCAACAAGCUCCAAGAAUGCAUCAACAGACUGGUGCGCCAACCAGCAAGGGCUGACGUAGAAAAACAACUCGUUCACCUCGAUCUGCUUGGACUCAAACUGUCGUCAAAACAAAACAGAAGGACUCAGCAGUUUUGUACUUUAUUCGUCAUGAGGGACAGGGGAAUAAAAUGACUGAGUCAUCAGGGCCCUGGUUGUUCAAAACACGAUUAUUUGCUCAAAUCAUAGUUGUUAGUUAAAGGCAUCAUCAAAGUUAAUCAUGUGGUCACUGGUUAGUGCCAAUAUAUUCCUCAUUUUCUCCAUGUUCCAUUCAAACUAACUGUUGGUUAAAUACACUUAAACAGUGGUUAAAAAAUAAACAGGUUUUGAACAACC